rnacentral:rRNA from 1 species
CCUACGGGAGGCAGCAGUGGGGAAUCUUGGACAAUGGGCGCAAGCCUGAUCCAGCCAUGCCGCGUGAGUGAUGAAGGCCUUAGGGUCGUAAAGCUCUUUCGCCUGUGAUGAUAAUGACAGUAGCAGGUAAAGAAACCCCGGCUAACUCCGUGCCAGCAGCCGCGGUAAUACGGAGGGGGUUAGCGUUGUUCGGAAUUACUGGGCGUAAAGCGCGCGUAGGCGGAUUAGUCAGUUAGAGGUGAAAUCCCAGGGCUCAACCCUGGAACUGCCUUUAAUACUGCUAGUCUUGAGUUCGAGAGAGGUGAGUGGAAUUCCGAGUGUAGAGGUGAAAUUCGUAGAUAUUCGGAGGAACACCAGUGGCGAAGGCGGCUCACUGGCUCGAUACUGACGCUGAGGUGCGAAAGUGUGGGGAGCAAACAGGAUUAGAUACCCUGGUAGUCCACACCGUAAACGAUGAAUGCCAGUCGUCGGGUAGCAUGCUAUUCGGUGACACACCUAACGGAUUAAGCAUUCCGCCUGGGGAGUACGGUCGCAAGAUUAAAACUCAAAGGAAUUGACGGGG